UCCCUGGUGGUCCAGUUCCUAAGACUUUGCGCUCCCAAUGCAGGGGUCCCAGGUUCAAUCCCUGGUUAGGGGA
rnacentral:tRNA from 1 species